rnacentral:rRNA from 1 species
AUUGAACGCUGGCGGCAUGCCUUACACAUGCAAGUCGAACGGCAGCACGGGAGCAAUCCUGGUGGCGAGUGGCGAACGGGUGCGUAAAGUAUCGGAACGUGCCCAGUCGUGGGGGAUAACGUAGCGAAAGUUACGCUAAUACCGCAUAUGAUCUAUGGAGGAAAGCGGGGGAUCGCAAGACCUCGCGCGAUUGGAGCGGCCGAUAUCAGAUUAGGUAGUUGGUGAGGUAAAGGCUCACCAAGCCGACGAUCUGUAGCUGGUCUGAGAGGACGACCAGCCACACUGGGACUGAGACACGGCCCAGACUCCUACGGGAGGCAGCAGUGGGGAAUUUUGGACAAUGGGCGCAAGCCUGAUCCAGCCAUGCCGCGUGCAGGAUGAAGGCCUUCGGGUUGUAAACUGCUUUUGUACGGAACGAAAAGGUUUGGCCUAAUAAGCUGAGCUCAUGACGGUACCGUAAGAAUAAGCACCGGCUAACUACGUGCCAGCCGCCGCAGUAA